rnacentral:lncRNA from 1 species
UAGUUAAUAGGGAGUCUAGCUUCAAACCCACAUCUGACUGAAUCUAAUUCCACCUACAGCUUUGAAGGCUCAGAAAACAUAACUGCUUGAAAAACUGAGUUAACUCUAUGACUGCCAGGACAAAAGCUUAGGAUUUAGAAAUGAAACAAUGAAUAAGUAGACAUUUUGCUCUCAUUUUGUUAUUUUUUACUUUAUUUUCCAAAUAUGUUUAGGUUAAAGAAAAGAACAUGGGAUUUAGAGUCAAAUAGGCAGGUGUUUUGAUUCUACCCUUGCUAACCCUGUGACCUUUGGACAGCCUACGUUGUCCAGUGGAGGCAGCCUUCCCAUUCCAACGGACAUUUGUGGGAUAUUAGAGACCAAGAAGUGUUAAGAGAUGAUCUUCACAAAAUGCUGAGCUUGUGUGGGUGUCGAACUACAAACAGGAGGAGAUGGAUAUUCACAUGCAGUGGUGGAGGGUUAUGGCUCUCCAGCCUGGAGGAUUGGAGCUUGAGCCAGGUGAACAGUGGGUCCAUUAAAGGGGCAGCUCAGUUCAGCAAGUCAGAGCCUGAACAGGAUGAAAGGGGCAACCCACAAAGAUGAGGACUGAAUUGGAGUUACAGAUCCCAGUUGGUUGGAGAGACCAUUUUCCUGGAGGAUGACCCAGUUUGGGAGUCACAGCCAGAGCUGGGAUAAAAGAUAAUCCACACUCUUUUGGAUAUAAUAUGUAUU